ensembl:lncRNA
AAAACUUGGAAUUUGAAGUAUCCAUUUCUUUAAUGGCUAAAAGGUAAAAUAAGGAAGUAUAGCUGAGUGAAUUUUUUGCUUGUCAUGUGAUAAAUUAACAUUCAACAUAGGAAGUCCAAAACUAUUCAGUUCACAUGAUCUCAGUAUUUGUCUCCAUUUUAAAAUUGUAUCAAAAUGAAAACAUUUAUUCCUGAGCCUGGAAGGCCCUCAUUUUUCAGAUAUUCCCUUAAUGGGAGUCAUGAGUGUUAUUUUAUUUGGGAGUCAGAAGUAGCUGAGAUAAGAAACAGUAACAGCUUUGGGAUUUCUUUCUUCCCUUCCUUCUUAUUCCUUUCUAUUCGACCAGGAAGAAGUGCAAUUUAGGUGAGUAACAGCAAGGCAUCCUACAUUAAGUUAGCAAGUGAGGUUGAAAAGUCAAUCUUACAGGCUUUAGAGGAGCUGAUACUAGCAGAAAAACUGUGCCUGCAGAACAAAGCCAGAAGAUAUCAAACAUCCUAAGAUCUGCUUUCACAAAUCAACAAAGUACAUAAACCAGAAAAAAAAUGCCUUCCUCUGGUUUGUUUCCCCAAAAUGAGAAACUGCGAAAGCCUGUAAGUGAAGAGCGAAUAUGAGAUGGUUGUCAGUGUAAUGUCAGCUUCUAGCAGAACAGAAAUAACUCACAAGUCUUGGAAUAAGUUCUCUAUUGCCUUGCACACUGUAUAGUCUUUUAAUCAAAAGCCAGAAUGAAUAGUUUCCAUCCAGCCUCAAAAUACCACGUCAUAUUAUGCAGAAAGAGGACUAUUGCAGAAACACUGCUUUUCCUGUCUUUAAGAUCUAAAACCACUACUAUGCAGGGUUCUGCUUGAGUAAUAACCUCAGUAGCAUUCCUUUUUCCUUUUGUGUAAAAUAUAUUUUGGCUCGUGUUUUGUUUCAACAUACUUCUAUAAAUCCUCGUGGGACACAGUAUGGGGGCCCUUCCAGGAUGUGACCUUUAGAUAUUGACAGAGGAGGUGUAUAUGCAUGUAUUCUCAUAUGAUGGCAGCAGAGGGGCAGACUGACGGAAUCCAUCGGAAGCAAGGGUGUGCCACUGAAUUCCUCCAUGCAGGAAAAAAUGCCACCCAUUGACACUGAUCAAUGCUUGCUGAAUGUUUCUGGAGACCAACCUGUGGGUGUGAGCACAAUGAGGUGGCUUUGGGAUGAGGAGGAGACAGAUGUGAGAGCACAUGUGAAGGCUGGCACUUGCUGUGGGACAAGGAGUCACAGGCAGUCUGCGGUGCUGCUGGUAUUAAACAAGGAACCACUGAAAAACAGUAAAUUUAAAACCAUCAAAAAGCUUCAAGAUUCUUCUUGGAUGAGAUCCUUGUUAUCUUGGAUGUGUAAAUCCUACUGCAACUCAGUGACAGUCAAACUUACUUGUUCGCACCUUCUUUAAAGCUAUGGAAAACUUUGCUUGCUACAGAAAUUACGAAGUUAAAUAUACCUUCAGAUUUCUGUGGAUAUAAACCAUUUCUCCCUGAAUUUUGUUGGCCAGAUUGAAUUUCUCUUUUUUUUUAGGGAAAUAUGCAUCAUUUGGUAUUAACUUAUUAGGUGGUGGUACUUGGUAAGUAAAUGUAUUUUUAAAAUUUUACAGAAUAUUUCUUUCAAAAUAGCUGUAAGAUAUUGAAAUAACUAUUUUAUAACACCUCCUAUCAUGAUUGAAUGGAACAAAAUAAUGUCUGAUAUUGUCUAUCUGAGUAACUUCAUCCUUCUUCCAAAUUUGCUGAAUGAUCAUUUACUGUUUCCCAUUUCAGAUGAUCGAACAUUUCAUUGAUGAAGCUCAUAAAAAACUUAUUCAAAACCAUACUGAAAUUCAAUGACAUAUCUGAAAAUUAAAUGUUUUUUGUGCACGGACCAACCAUAGGUUAUAUCAGCAAGAUCCUUAUGUGAUCAAUUAGUGCUCCAAAGACAAACCUCUCUCCAGGAGUAAAAUAUGAGCCCCAGUCCUGGAGGGGAUUAACCCUCAGUUCGAGAAUAGUUAUUCAUUCCUGUAAUUGAAUACAAAAGACAUAGGGAUUGAUUUUCACCUAUACCCAAAUUCAUGGCUCCUGGGAGGGUAUGAGCUGCUGACAAAUAAUUUCAGCUUCAGCCAUUGAUUAUGCUUCUAUAGUGAACAUUACAUAUACAGUAAGGUUGAUGUAAUAUAUAUUGCUGGAGUAAUAUAAUAUAAGUACUCCCCAUUUCUUAACCUAUCUUUCACUACCCUUAAGCUGUGCCGUGCACAGGAGAUGUAGAAUUCGGCUUCCUAGGAAGGAAAUGGCCAUGAAGCAGAAAAAUGAAUUCACCCUCAUUGUAUUGUAGUGAUGUGGUGAAGAUAAUCACUGCAGCUUUAUUCCAUUUAUUUUGAAAGAGAAAGCCUUUGCCUUUUCAAACUGCCUUGACCAUAUCACCACUCAUCUAUUUGCAAUGAAAAUCUGACAUCAGAGUACAGAAUUAUAGCUGGAGAAAUUGUCUUCUCAUUUCAUAUUUACCUUGUUUCCUCUCCUGAGUCACUGGAAAUGCAGCGACCUAGGUCCGUGCUUUUACACUUUUUUUUACUAUAUAUACACACGUAGAUAAAAAAAUUAGUGUGUGUGUACUGCCAAACUCUUCAGCUCACUACUCAUCUUCCCAGGUGUCUUCACACACCGUAAUUUCUGGUGUUUAAAAUUGGUAGACUGCAAAAAGUAGCACUCCUGCGUUCCCUCUCAUUCAUAUUGUGAAUAUUCAGUUCUCCAAGAAUUUUGCUGCUGGUGUCUGACCAGCCAAGCCCAUAUCAGAAUCGGCCACAGUCUAAUCAUAGUUUUUACCAAUUAAAACUUGUGUGCUAUAAUUUGUUUUUGUUUGUUUGUUUGUUUGUUUUGAUAACCUAAAGCAUAUUCUACUGUUUGCUGUUAAAAUAAAAUCCUUUCUGUUUACCUCCUCAUGGCUCACUGAAAAAAAUAUAUGCUUACAAUUGCAGCUUUCAAAAUGUUUUUUAUUUCUUCAGAUUUCUACUACAAAGCUUCAAUGUAAUCAAUAAUUCUAACUAGCUAUCUGACAGAGUACUUAACUUUAUUUUUCCUAAUAAGAACAAAUAGUUGGAGAAGAAUGUGUCCAAAGCCAUUUUUUUCCAUUCCUUUCUCAUGGCUUGCCUCUUGUCUUCUGUAUAAGGAAUUUUAGCAUUUCAAAUUUUAAGCUGAAGAUAAAUCCUUCUUUUUGAAGAAGUGUUUCUCACCAAGAGAGCCUUUUUUUUUUUUAAAGUAAGGAUAGCAAAUCCAGCCUGAUAGAACAAACACCUGAAGACAUUUUCUGUACAAUAAUAUCUCUUUAACAGAAUUAAAAUUCUAGAGAUUUAAUUCUUUGCAGACUUAACUCAACUGAAGGAAUAAGAAAUGCUGUGAUAAAACAAUAUGAUUACUUCAGUCUCCAUGUAGUAUAAAGUACGAUUCUACAGGAUUUCUUCAGUAGCCCAUGUCCAUAGUGAUCUUAAUUUUUGCUUUGUCAGAAGAGCUCUAUGAUAGGUUAAUUCUUCAGAAAUACUUAUCGUCCAUUACAUCAGAUUUCAUUUAUUUCUCCACUAUGAAAUGCAAUUUUUGGAAUUAUUAUUCUUUUUAUUAUUGUUGCUAUUACAGAACUUCCAGUGUUGGACAAAUUUACUGCUGGUACCUUCCUGUUUUCAUCCCUUUUCUUCCAAAUCCAGUGCCUAACCAAUUGAUUGUUUACUUGGAUAAACAAUUUGUUUUCCCUAAUGAAAAAAGAUAAGACUUCAUUGCCUAUUUUGUGUGGAACUGGGGCUCCUCUAGCUUCUGCAUUUUUUCCUAUUACAUCAUAAGUCCUACUUCUAGACAGAAAUAAGAAUGAGAGAUUGCAGCCUGUAGAGCUGCUACUUAUAUAGCUGCUAGAGUUACUAUCUUAGCAUGCUCAAACAUAUUCCUUAUCUGCUUCUUUUUCACUGUUCUUUUCUGAUUAAUGGUGGAUUUCCUGAUAUGUUAGGAUAUUACUGUCCUAUCUGCAGAAAUAUUGUCUCUCAUUUGGAGGAUGGUGGGAUUUUUUUCAACUUAAAUUUUUACUUUGUGCAUUGUAAUACUAAUUUCAGUUCCUAAUUUUCCAGUAAGGCAAUUAGGACACUAAAAUUUCCCAAUCACGGAAAAAGUAAUUAGUUACUAGAAGAUAAGGAUGUGCAAAUUUGAACAAAUUUGUAUGUAUUUAUGGAUAUAAGAGUUGGCUUGCAUGUGUAACUUAGAAUUUUACAUAAAUGACAUAAACUCAUUUAAAUAUAUAAAAGUAAAAAUCCAGUACUUUUUCUAUUCAUCUUCUGUGGAAUUUAAUAGCUUUUUUUAAAAGGCAUGCAUUUUCAUGAAUUGAUGUUGGUAUAUAAGCAAGAUUAUGUAUUUUCUUCAUUAACUUUUACAAAGUAGAUAUGUAGGUGGAACUAAACAUUCAAAAGCUAAGCAAAGUUUGUGUUGUUUACAUAAAAGUAUUGGUAGAUUACAUCUACCCACAAAAAAAAAAAAAGUCAUGUAUUUUUGUUUUCAGAUAAAAAUGCACAUCUCAAAGACUUUCUUCUCUACAACUCAAACUUUCCAAAGGUUUUGAGUCAAAUUAUAUCUGAGUGUUCACUUAAAAAAAGGAAAAAACAAAACAAACAAACAAAUAAAAAAAAAUCAGAACACGGAGUUCUGUAGAAGUUAGGUAUGGUAGUUAAAAACCUUUCUGUGAAUGGCCAAAAAUACCCAAACGUUGGACUUGCUGGAACAGGAUAUGUGUUGUAAAGGAAAGCUGACAACAGAUGUUCAUAUUGUUGAAUGCUUUUGACUCAGAUCAUCAUUGGGUUUCAAGCUGUUAAUGGUGAAAGAGGUAAGAUCUCCAAGACAAGAUCUCAAAGAAAGAAGAAACUGAUCAGAGUACUUAGAUCUGAUUAUUUCAACUCACCUGACUAGCAGAGUCUUGGUAAGUAUUGGCUGUUUGGCUUGAUGAACGUUGAAAAAUCAGCUGGUUACAUUUUUUUGCUGUGGCUUGUUGUCUUUGCUCUUUGCAGCCAUUUCACAUGUCAUUCAUAGAGCCUGAAAGGGAGAAGAGUUAGGGUAAUAUACAUAAAUCAACACUGAGAUUAGAUGUCAAUAGAUCCACUUGACCGUUUCAGACAUUGGAAACUUACAUGGAAAACAUUGCUCAGCUGUAACACUAAGCAGCAGAGUUGAAGUAAAUAAAUGCAGGGUGGACAUCUAGUAGAUAGAUAACAGAUCUUCAGAAAAAAUAGCUAGUCAAGAUGAACAUUUUAUACCUUUUGCUAAAGCAAAUGAUAAGCCAAGUUAUGCUGUAAUAUGGCUUGUAAAAUAGAAAAUGGAUUACCCUAUAAUACUCAGAAGUUCUAACAUCCACUGAAGGGAAUUCCCUUCCAUUUUGGGCAUGUAUCUUCAAGAAAAAAUGUAGAUGAAUGAUGAAAGCCUGAAGAAAUAUGAAAAAAAAUCUGAGAAAUGCAGUCUAUAAGGAAGCUUGUGAAUUCACAUUUGUACUAUAGUUGAAAAUAGCAAAAAUAGCAAAGUCCAUGAAGGACUGUUGCAAAGAAGGCAGCAAAUGUUGUCAAAGUUGUCAUCAAAGUAUAGAAAAGACAAAAUGCAGAAAUUGAAGUUACACAGUAGAGGAAAGUUUCUAAUUGUAACGCUCAUGAGACAUCAGAUCUGGAUAAAGAGGCUGCAGAUUCCUCUCACUGAAAGACUUUAAAUACAUAUGGAAAAACACCUGCUAUAGCAGACACAGUACCAGUUGAUCCAGCCUUGGAAAAUAAGCCAGGUCUCCUGUUGAGAGCCAGCCACUUGUCUUUUUUUGCAAUAGUGUAGUUUAUUAAAUGUGAAGGAGUGAAAAUGACAGAAAACAGAACAGAAUGGUGUACUGUCAAAAUCCUGACAUAUCUCCAGAUAGGUGCAAACAAUGCAGUUUUAAUUAUACUUUUGUUGCUUUUUCUUCCCCAGCCAAAAGUAUUUCCUUUCUAAGUUUUGCUGGACGUCAUUUUACCUCUAAUUUGGUU